rnacentral:lncRNA from 1 species
UUUUGUUUCUUUUUUCGAUUUCUCACCCAAAUCUCUGUUUUUUUUCUCUCUCGAUCCGGAGGCGAAGAACAAGAGUUAUCGGAGCCGCAAGAACGACGCUCCUUCUCCUUCUCUUGGAGAUGGCUUUUUUCAUUGAGUAUUGCUGGAACGAGUUCGAGGAAGAUGAUUUUUUCGUCGAUUUGUUGCCGAAAUUGAAUUUUGAUGGGUGGUGGUUUCUGCUUUGGUUGGUGGUGCGGUUUGUGAUUUACUUGAUUUGUAAUAAAAAUCGUCAGUGGUGUGGCGGCGGUGUGGUUAUGACGGGGAGGCAUAUCUAGGGUUUUUGGGUGGAUCGGCGGAGGACGGCACGG